GAUACCAGAUAACCAGCUGCCUUUCUGAAUCUCCUCCCCAGGAAAACUGAGACAGAAGAUAAUGCUUGUUAUUCCUAUCUUUAUGGGUUGCAAGUUUGGCUUUUCUGUUACAUUU
rfam:Punica granatum cultivar Dabenzi scaffold1092, whole genome shotgun sequence.